rnacentral:rRNA from 1 species
AGAGAGAGACAUGCGUGCAUAUCAAUAAGCGGAGGAAAAGAAACUAACUAGGAUUCCCUCAGUAACGGCGAGUGAAGCGGGAAGAGCUCAAAUUUGAAAUCUUCAAGGUUCUACCUUGACGAAUUGUAGUUUAAAGAAGUGUUUUCUGUUGGAGUUUUGGUAAAAGUUCUUUGGAAUAGGACAUCAUAGAGGGUGAGAAUCCCGUAUUUGACCAUUAUUUCCAGCUUUGUGAUACACUUUCGAAGAGUCGGAUUGUUUGGGAAUGCAGUCCAAAAUGGGUGGUGAAUUUCAUCUAAAGCUAAAUAUUGGCGAGAGACCGAUAGCGAACAAGUACCGUGAGGGAAAGAUGAAAAGAACUUUGAAAAGAGAGUUAAACAGUACGUGAAAUUGUCAAAAGGGAAGCGUUUGACACCAGUGUUGUCUUCUCGAAAAUCAAUUAAAAAAGGCAGGAUUUUGUGUUGUAUUGACUUUAUCAGCUUUCUGCACUCUUUUCUUGUCUUUUUUAAUGCACUUUUCGUUUAACAAGUCAACAUCAAUUUCUUUUGUUGUAAAAGGGUCAUUGGAAGGUGGCUUUCUUUUCGGAGAAAGUGUUUAUAGCCUUUGGCCUCUGCAAUCGGAGAGAUUGAGGUCUGCAGCGUAGAUCCUUCGGGGUUAGAUACAUUUGUGCUAAGUUAUAGCCUUUCAUAGACAACUUGUUGACUAUGAUCAGUCAUGUAGCUUACUCGCUUAUGCUAUUUUACCUACGCUUAGGAUGUUGAUGUGAUACUGCGAGCA